ACCUGUGUGACGCAAUUGGUUAGCGUGUCAGACUUUUACAGCAGAUGUAAUCUGAAAGCUCAGGGUUCGAGUCCCUGCACGGGUG
rnacentral:tRNA from 1 species